GUCGAGGGGCAGCGGGGUAGUGCUUGCACUACUGCCGGCGACCGGCGCACGGGUGAGUAACACGUAUGGAACCUGCCCGCAGCAGGGGGAUAAGCGGAAGAAAUUCCGUCUAAUACCGCGUAAGAACGUUGGGAGGCAUCUCCCGAUGUUUAAAGAUUUAUCGGCUGCGGAUGGCCAUGCGGCGCAUUAGCUAGUCGGCGGGGUAACGGCCCACCGAGGCGACGAUGCGUAGGGGUUCUGAGAGGAAGGUCCCCCACACUGGUACUGAGACACGGACCAGACUCCUACGGGAGGCAGCAGUGAGGAAUAUUGGUCAAUGGCCGAGAGGCUGAACCAGCCAAGUCGCGUGAGGGAAGACGGCCCUACGGGUUGUAAACCUCUUUUGUCGGGGAGCAAAGCGAACCACGUGUGGUUCAUUGAGAGUACCCGAAGAAAAAGCAUCGGCUAACUCCGUGCCAGCAGCCGCGGUAAUACGGAGGAUGCGAGCGUUAUCCGGAUUUAUUGGGUUUAAAGGGUGCGCAGGCGGAGGUGCAAGUCAGCGGUCAAAUUGCGGGGCUCAACCCCGUACUGCCGUUGAAACUGCAUCCCUUGAGUGCGCGAGAAGUAUGCGGAAUGCGUGGUGUAGCGGUGAAAUGCAUAGAUAUCACGCAGAACUCCGAUUGCGAAGGCAGCAUACCGGCGCGCAACUGACGCUCAUGCACGAAAGCGUGGGUAUCGAACAGGAUUAGAUACCCUGGUAGUCCACGCAAUAAA
rnacentral:rRNA from 1 species